rnacentral:lncRNA from 1 species
UUUGUUUUUUUUGUAGUUUAAUUUGCAACAAGUAUAUAUAAGACUAGAGUUACAAUUAGGCAACAAGGCUAUUGUCGUUGUCAUUGAUUUUACAAGAAGAACUACUCAUUGUAUCUAGGGACAACAAGACACAUGAUCAAUUGUGGCAAUUUGUAGAAGUCAAAAGGACUAAAUUACUUGACUUUCUAGGACUUAAAUUUUAGAAUGUACUAUUGCUAAUUUUUUUUAUAGACUGGAUCACUAUUUAUUCAUCUAUCAUGUUAUUAUUUUAAAAGUAAGAAUUGGCAUCAUUAAUGCAUGUAAAUUAUUGAAAUAAGUGAAUUAAACUUGACAUUAACUUCUAGAUUUAUAAUAAAUCAUAUCAUAAAUUGGUGGUCUAAUCGACUAAGAUAGAUUAUACCAUGUGACAAUUGAAUCAUAGAAUGUGUCUUUUACAAGAAUAAGCAUAGAAUAGAAAGGAAGUGAGACUUGUUUGAUCUUAAUUUUCUUGUUGAAUUUAUUACAUUGUGAAGUCGUAAACUUACUACAAAGUUAAAUUGAAUAAUUUUUGUCAUAAUUUUUUUUGGUUUUUUAUAAAUUUUCUAAAUUAUUGCAAGUAUUAUAAAAAAAAGAUAUGAACUUGUUACAUUGUCAUAUUAUGUUGUAAUUGGUAUUUCUACUCAAUUAAAUUAGAUAGACAUUUUACUUUAUAAGUUGAAUAUAUGUCAUGGACAUACAUAUGUAAACCAAUAAUUAUCUAUAUGAUUUAGAUAAAAGUAAGUAAAAGUAGAUUGAUUCCAUAAUAUCUUCUAUAAAAGCUUUGUAGAAGCUUUAUGGACACUGCUUUGACUUUAUAAGUAUCUUUAAUUGAUUUUUUUAGGUUAAAACAUGGUCAAUAAGUUUGCCUUGUGCCACACAUGUUGAUAGCUUGUAAAACAAGCUAAUUAUGUGGCCCACAUAUAGAAAACUUGCCUUGUAAGCUAAGGCAUGUGUUCUGCAAAGUCAACACAUAUUAGAGGUCCUAUAGAACAUCGCCACGUAGCUCCUAAUUAGAUAAUAUAUACAAAGGCAAGAGUGAAGCCCUCUUUACUCUUAUCAACUCUUUUCUUGCUUCUAGUCUAGAUUUAAGAGUCUCUAAUUUUCUUGUCUUUUGGCAAUAGCCAUUCUAAUUUCUUUUUAAUAUAUAUACUAUUUUAUUGCUAUUUUGUCACUUUUCUUUUAAUACAAAAUUUUUAGGUUUAUGCAUCUUCUUCUAGUUCAUGUCCUUGGUAGAUUGACAAGAGUAUACUUACAAUAUUAGAGUUUUUUUUUUUUUUUUUUUUUUUUUUCUUUUCUUGAUUAAGAGUAGAUUUUUCAUUUUUUUUAUAAGACAUAAGCAUAUUAGAAGUUGCGGAUUAUCCUCUUUUAAACUAAUAUUGUUCUUAAUAUCUUUUUUUUUAUUUUUAAGUCCCCUUUUCUACUUAUCUUGAGUUAUAUUAAACAUUUAUUUUUAAAAUAUUAUCAUAGAAGAGCUUGUUGAAAUAAAAAGUGCAAUGACAAAAAUGUAAAAGAAAUUGAAGGAGUUAAUGCUUGCGAUGCAUCAAUUUAGUUUACCACCACAAAGAGUAAGAAGAAUGGCAGGAAGUGAUGAUAUAAAUAUGAUUGAAGUUGUUUCAACAUCUGUACCCAAUCAUGUCCCUUUUCUUACGGUGGAACAUCCUUCCAGUACUAGAGAACCAAGAAUUGCCUUGCUUGAGAGGUUUGAUGGCACAAGAUUAAAUUUUUGAGGAUUUAUCAACCAAUUAUAACUUAUGAUUGAACUUCAAUUCCAAAGCUAUUCAAUUUUAGGAUCAUAAGUUAAAUUCAUUAGUACAUUUCUUUCAAGUUCAGCAUUAUCAUGAUUUUCAUCUUUAUUUAAAUAACGAUGUCGUACUGUAAAUGCUUACAGUAUGUAAAAAUUAGCUAAAACAUAUUAUAUGUUGAUAAAUCUAGAUGUGUGUUAGAGUGUCUAGUAGAUUAAAUUAAAAGGAUUUGGUAUAAGAAACUUUACUUUGUUUCUUUACUUCUUUUGAUUUUGAUAUUAAAAUAUAUAUAUAUAUAUAUAUAUAUAUAUAUAUAUGUAUAUAGGACCUAAAUGUUUAGUAUGAAGCCUUGGAAGAAGGUGGAAACCUAAGGAUGAAAAUCUAAACUAGUAGGAGGCUAAUUGAAAGGGAUGAAAGUAAGGCAUGGUCGGAUGAAGGCAAGGAAUGGAGAACUUCAUCCCUAUUGGUCGAAUAUCAUACCCAAUAGGCUUCAAGGAGGCUGCCCGAGGCCUUAUGAGGGAUUAGGGUUCCUCUUUUGAAGGCAUUCGGAGAUUAGAAGCUAGGGUUGUAAAGUUUAGGGUUUGGAGAACAAUUUGUAUACAAAAAUUAGAGGAUUUGGAGUUAGGAUGAAAAAGUUAUAACCAUUUGAAGUUAAGGUGUUUAUUUAACACAUACUGUUACUCUUUUGAGAGUACAAGCAGUUUUACAGCAGCUUUUGAAGAUUGGAAGGUGCGACUGGAACGGCGAUUUCAAGGCCUACAUCUUUUACAAAGGAAUUAUUGCUUUUGGAGUUCAUAUAAAGGAGUUGUAAGGAGUUGAAAGCGAUGCUUUCAAAUCAAAAGCAGUAAGUAAGCGGAUUUGUUUGUAGUAAUGGUUGAAACCAUAACUUGAGUUUUCGAACGAAUUUUUGGCUCAAACUUUUUGGAGAAUGUAAAAUUUUGUGCUAAGAAGCUAUAUAUACAAAUUUCGUGGCAUUUGAUCUUAUAUUUUGUGAGAUAUGAAGAAAAUUGCAUGUAGAUGUAUAAAGACAAGAGUUUGAAGCGAAUGUUAGGGAUUUCAAGAUAUCUCAAGAUUUGUAAUGAAUUUGCGGUUGAAAAUUGUUGUAGAAGUUAAUAAGAAUAAAUUAGUACCUCAUGUAAAAUUUGAGUUUGUUUGGACGGUCGGAUUUAGAGAUAUGAGGUGUUGAAGUUCAAGAAAAUCUCCACAUAAAAAUAAAUAAGGAUUUAGAAGAUUUUAUCAUAUUUUGGAAGUUGUGGAUUACUUGAGGAUUGUGUAUUUGGUGUAAUUACUCAAAAAGAGGAAAAUUAUAUAUAAACUUAGGGCUUCCCUUAUUUUCAAGCUUGAUUGAAUAAUUAGUGACAACCAGAAGCCCAGCAUUUUUUUGAGGCAAACUCUCUCUACUCUGACAAUGAGAUCUAAUAUUAGAUAAUUUAGAGGCUUUUAUAACAAAGUUUUGAUCCAUUUAUGGAAAAAAUGAUGUAACUUGUGUUGCAACCAAUAAGAUCCAUAUUUUAUGAGAAAAUAAUCGAUCUGUAACAUUAUAUGUUUUAAAAUUUUGACAAUUUGCAACCGAUAUCAAGUGGAAUGAUGCUGCACUUAUUAGCCAAUUUUUCUAUGAAUUAUAAUAUGAUGUAAAGAAAUUGAUGCUCAACUUAUUUGAUCUUUAAACAUUGAGUCAAGCAAUUGACUUUGCUGUGAAGUGUAACAAUCAACUUUUUGAAUUUCAAUCUGAAAAUUAGAGAAGUGGGCCUCAACAUUAUUAUAAUUCAAUGGCAACACCAAUGUCUCUUCAACACAUAAAUUUAGAAGUAGAGGAUAUACAAAUUGAUAUGAUAUGUUUCAAACUUCUUACUUAGCAAAAAAAGGCUUGUCGCCAUUGUUAUACGAUAAAUACUUGUAAUAUGUAAAAAUUAGUUAGAACAUAUAAUAUAUUCAUAAAUCUUGGUGUAUGUUAGAAUGGUCAAUAGAUUAAUUUAAAGAAAGUGGAUUUAAGAAACUUUAUUUUGAAUUUUAUCUUUUUUGAUUAUAACAUUUAAAAAAAUUGUAAGACCUAAAUAUUUAGUAUAAAGCCUUGAGAAGAGAUUAGAGCCUAAAGAAGAAAAUCUUAACAAGUAGGAGGCUUAUUUGGAGGGAUGAAAGCAAGGCAUGGUUGGAUGAAGGCAAGGAAUGGAGAUCUUCAUCCCUAUUGUUCGAAUGUCAUGUCCAAUGGGCUUCAAGGAGGCUGCCUGAGGCCUUAUUAGGAAUUAGGAUUUUACUUUCGGAGGCAUUCGAGCUUUGGAGGCUAAGAUCAGCAAGUUCAGGAUUUUGUAUAUAAUUUGGAUGAAGAGUUUGUGUGAUUUGGAGUUUUUGUGAAGGAGAUAUAGGUGUUCAAAGUUAAGGUGUUAAAUUUGUACCUUUUGUCACUCUUUGAAGGAUAACAUAUGCGUACAAAAAGAAAUGAAAGAUUAGCAAGUAGAGUUGGAAAGAACACUUUCUUGGCUAUAUUUUAUAUAUACUAUUUGAUAAAUUCCAAGUGUAAAUGAAGGAGUUAUAGGAUAUUGAAGACAGUACAUGUAAUUCAAAGGUAGUAAGUGAGUCAUUUUAUUGAUAGUAAUGGUUGGAGCCAUAUCAUGAGUUUUUGGAUGAAUUUUUAGUUCAAAUUUUUUUUAAGUGUGAGUUAUUAGGUUGAAAAGCUAUAGAUCAAAGUUUCAUGGUAUUUGAGUACUUAUUUUGUAAGAUAUAAUGAGAAUAGCACGUAGGUAUAUGUAAGCUAGGAUUUAAAGCUACUAUUAGGAUUUUGGUGAUAUUUCAAGAUUUGUAACGAAUUUGCAAUUGAAUUUUUUUGUAGUAGUUUUUGAAAGUAUAGCAGUACUUCAUGUAAAAUUUAGGAUUUUUUAAAUGGUCCAAUAGUGAGAUAUAAACUAUUGAAGUUUGAAAAAUAUUUUUCAUAAGGAUAUAAAAGGUUUUAAGAUACUUUAUGAUAUAUUUGGAUGUUUUCUUGGUACUUGGGCUUAUGUAUUGAUGUAAUUAUCCUAAAAAGAAAAAUAUUAUAUAUAUAAAUUUGGUAAUUUAUAUCUUAGACUUGAUUGAGUAUUUAGUGGCAACUAGAUGACUAGCGCUUUCUUCAUACAAACUCUUUCUAUCCCAACACCGUUAAGAAGGAUUGUGCUUAUAUUAUGGAGAAUCUAAGCACACUGCUCAAUAUCAUUCAAAGAAAUGAUGUAAUUAUAAAGUGAGGAGCACAAAUAUAAAAAAAAAUAAUAUAUCAAAAAACGAGUCUGUCCAGCUACAAUAGGGACCGUGUGGUUAGAACCUUGUACAAUAUCUAAUGAAUGUCCUAUUAUCUCCUCAGAACCCUUUCUUUAUUUUGCAAUAAAUAUUAUUUUAGGACCUAUACAUUACAAAGCCUCUUCUUUUUUGGAUUCAGGAGCUUAGUAUUGUUUUAGAUGAAGGAUUUACUAAAAGACUUAACAUAUCUUUAAUAAGAAAAACUAAACCUAUUUAUAUAGAAGUCAUAGAUGGUCGUGUGUUGUCUUUUGGAGAUGUUACUCACCAAACCCUUCUUAUAGAAGUAAUAAUUAAUGGUCAUAAUUAGCUUUGUGAUAUUUAAUAUUAUUAAAUCUUCUUCUAAUCUAAUUAUUUUAGGUUUAUUGUGGUUAAAAAAAUACAACCCUUGAGUAGAUUGGAUUUCUUGUACUCUUGACUUUUCUCAAAGUAUAACUAAGAGUCUAGUUAAUCAAGUAAAAAAUCACAAGUUUAGUACAAUUAAACCUAUGUUUGUAGGUACAGGAGCUUUUUUACAUGCUACAAAAGAAGGAUCACCUUGUAUCAUUUAUACCACAUCUAUUUCUAAUGGUGCAAAGACUUCAAGUGGUAUUUCAAGCCAAUAUCAGGAUUUUCAAGAUAUAUUUGAGAAAAAAAAUAUAGAUACUCUUUCAAAAUAUUAUUCCUAAAACUACUCAAUUGACCUUCAAGAAGGAGCAUAAUUGCUAUUUGGACCAAUCUACAAUUUAUUAAAAAAUGAGUUGGCAAAAUUCAAGGAGUAUAUUGAAGAAAAUCUAGCUAAGAACUUCAUAUGCCAUUCCAAAUCUUCAGCAAGAGCCUCAAUUCUAUUUGAGAAGAAAAAAGAUAAAUCAUUGCGGACGUAAGUUGAUUAUUAAGGAGUCAAUAAGAUCACCAUCAAGAAUAGGUAUCCACUAUCUUUAAUAUUUGAACUUCUUGAUCAAUUGAAUCAAGCUAAAAUCUAUACAAAAAUAGAUCUACGAAAAGUAUAUAAUUUUUUAUGCAUUAAAGAAGGAGAUAGAUAGAAGACUGAAUUUUGAACAAGUAUGGACAUUUUGAAUAUAAUAUCAUGACUUUUAGACUUAUAAAUAUACUAGAAGCUUUUCAAUAUGUUAUGAAUGAUAUUUUUGAGAAUUUUUGGAUGAUUUUAUUGUGUAUUAUCUAAAAAACAUCUUAAUCUAUUCUAAGAAUAUAAAAGAACAUGAACUUUAUGUUCAUUGUAUAUUACAAAAAUUAAGAGAUAUGAGACUCUAUGCCAAGAUAAAAAAGUGUAUAUUCUAUACUACUCAAGUUGACUUUUUAGGAUACACUAUUUCAAACAAUGGACUUAUGAUGGAUCCUAAGAAAGUUCAAACUAUUAUAGAUUAGAAGAUCUCCCAAAAAAUCUAAGAUGUUUAAUGUUUUUGAAAUUUGCCAAUUACUAUCGGAUCUUCAUCAAGAACUUCUCUUGAACUACAGCUCCACUUAUACAUUGUUUUGUUGUAACAUGACUAUAUGAUGAAAGAUGAUAAUAUGGAUCUUAUUAUAGAAGAGCCAAAUUAAAAGAUAAAAUAGAAAAAUAUAGAUAAAAGAUAGGAAGGUAAUAAAACUUUUAGUAGUAAUAUUAUAUUUUAAAAAAAGUGACUUCUACUUACUUUGUAGGACCAUAAAUAAGAAAAAAAAAAAAUUAGAAAAAUAAAUAAUAUAGGCAUUUUAAAGAAGAAUUUAAGAAUAAAUUAUAGCAAAAUUUACCUAGAAAAACUGGAUAUUGAUAUUUGGAGAGGACCAGUUAUGAACCAAGGUUGAAAUCAGACCCUGAGGCAUAAAAUCAAGCUUUGAUGAUAAUUCUAGGAUUCUUUGGCAAAUUAAAGAAUAGAAUUAGAAAACAGACUUGAUAAGGUUUUAAUAAGCAUUAUUUUGAGUUGAUUUGGAUUUGUAUUGACUUUAUAAGAGCUUUACAAAGUCAGGGUUUGUUUUAGGUGACUCUAGAUUUGUGAAAUAAAAAGGGAGAUACUUUUUGGAAAAUUUCAUAUAUUUAGUAGUAGAUCCACAAGUGAAAUUUAAGAGGUUUGUGGAUUUAUAUGUGUUUAAUAUAUAUUAUGAGUUUGAGAUUGAUUGAAGGGUUGGAUCGAGGAUUAUUGAGGUUUAAAUAGGUCAAAUUUUCAAGAAGUAGUCUUAGAUCUAGUGAGGAUUUCUAAGAUUUCUAAGAUUUUUUCUAAUAUAUUAGUUGAAUUGGAGUAAAUAUUAUAUGCGUGGGUAGUAGACUUAUUUUACUACAUUUUUGAAAAAUUUGAGAUCAAUUAAAUGGUUCAAUAAGGAGAUAUUGGCAUUAAAAAUUCAAUAUUUAGAUUGGAGAAGGAGGCCGGCCAACAUCCAAGCAAAUAUUAGAGUAGAUCUUCUUUUUGGUGAGUUCAAUUUUCUUCAACUUAAUUUUUAAAAAGCAUAAAAUUUUUGAGUUAAAAUCAACAAUUUAGUUAUUAAUUAUUGAAGUUUAAAUGUGUUGUAGGAAUUAUUUGGAAUUAUUUAAGAUUUGAUUAGAAUAUGUUUAGAAUUUGGUUAGAAUUAAUUAAGUUUUCUUUAAGAUUUAUUUAGGAUUUCAUUAGUAUUUAUUUAGGAUUUGACUAGGAUUUGAUUAAGAUUUGUUUAAGAUUUGAUUAAGAUUCAUUUAGGAUUUGAUUAGGAUUUGGUUAGGAUUUAUUAGGAUUUGACUAGGAUUUGACUAGAAUUUGACUAAAAUUUGAUUAGAUUUUGAAUAGGAUUUAAUUAAGAUUUCUAUUUUAAUAUUUUAUUAAGAUUUCUAUUUUAGUAUAUUUUUGAAUUUUUAUAUUAUUUCUUUAUGAUUAUUUAAAAGGUCUUUAGGAAUAUAUUGUAUUUCUUAUAUGAUUCUUUUGAAAUUUUAAUUGAAUUUAGUCAAUGUUUGAUUGUAUUUUUUAAUAUUUAAUUAUAAUUUUUUUAAGAAUCUAUUAGAGUUGUUUGGACUUGUUGUUGCAAUUUUUUUUUUAUCUUCUACAGCUAGGUGCCUAGUGCAUUCUUAAGUCAAACACCAUAUAAUACGACAAUAUUUGACUUGUAAAGACAAACUUCAAUGGAAUCAUGAAGCAGAAGCAGUAUUUGAAGCUUUAAAGCCGACUUUUUUUUUCUGCACCAAUCUUUUAUCGGGUUGACUUUUCUAAGGCAUUCUUUAUGGAAAUAAACACAUCGGACUUUGCUUUGGAUGCUGUAUUAUUACAAAUGGGAAUAGAUGAUAAAUUUCUCUUAAUAACUUUUCAUUCUAAGAAAUUUUCAGCAACCAAGAUUAACUAUGAGAUCUUUGAUAAAGAGUUUCUUGCAAUUAUGGAUUUUUUUCAAGAAUGACAUCAUUAUUUGGAAAGCACUUCCAGUCCAGUCACCAUAUAUACAGAUUAAAAGAACCUCGAGUAUUUCAUGUCAGCUUGUAUUUUGAAUCAUCAUUAAGCUCGUUGGAGCAUGUCUUUGUCAACCAUUACCUAUUCCAAAACAACCAUGGUCCUCUAUAUUCAUGGAUUUUAUUUCGAAUCUUCUAGUUUUAGGAUCAUAUGAUUGUACAUUUGUGAUAGUAUAUUAUUUUACUCAAAUGACACAUUUUAUACUGUGCACAAAAUCUAUCACAAGUGAAGAAACUACCAAGCUUUUUUUUAAUAAUAUCUAUCAAUAUCAUGGAUUGUUGGAAGAUAUUAUAUCAGAUACUCAAUUUAUAUCAUGAUUUUAGAGAAUUCUUUUUAAGAUUUUAAAGAUGGACAUAAAGCUUUCUUUUAUCUUUCAUUGUCAAACUAAUAGAGAGACAGAGGUCAUAAACCAAGUUUUAGAGCAAUACUUAAGGUGUACCAUCAAUUAUUAAUAAGACAAUUGGAGAACCCUCUUGCCAUUGGUAGAGUUUGCUUAUAAUAAUACGAUGCAUUCUUUUCCACAACAAACACCUUUCUUUAUUAAUUAUGAUUACCAUCCAUGACAUGAAUUUUCAAAAGUUGUUAAUCAUAUGGCAGAAGGUUUGACAAAUCAUUUGUUAGAGCUUCAUAUAACAAUGAAGGUGUAAUUAAAGGAAGUUGAAGAAUGACAAAAGAUCAACGUGGAUGCCUAUCAAAAGAAACAACUACAAUUCAAUGUAAGUGACAAAGUAUGGUUGCUUCAUCAUAAUAUCAAGACUACUCGUCCUUGUGAUAAAUUGGACUACUGCAGGCUUAGAUCUUUUCUUAUUUGUGGACAAAUCAAUCCAAUUGCUUAUUGAUUACAUCUAUUGGUAUCACAGACAUACAACUGAAGAAGGUUCCAAAAAAUUCCAGAAAGUUCUUGAUGGUUCUAGAAGAUUCUAAAAGAUUCUAAAAGAUACUAAUAGAUUCUAAAAAGGUUUUUGAUGGUUGUAAGAAUUUCUAGAAGGUUUUGAAAGGUUCCAAUAGAAUCUAAGAAAGUUUUAAAAUAUCAUAGGAGGUCUUAAAAGAUUUUAGGAGGCUUUAGAUGAUUUAGGAAGUUACUAAAGAACGAUCUUAGGCUUGCUUCAUUCUCAAGCUUCAUAAAAUCUUCUCAAGAAGCUUCUUAGGACCUAGUAUAUAUAAGAAUCGAGACUGAGAAGAUUCUCAAUCUCGACAACUCACUUCUUGUGGUUUAGUGAGGACCUUCUUGUCUUGUAUCUAGUUAUUGUUUUAAUGUUGAGUUAACUCCAUUCCUUGAUCUUGAAUCCUUGUCUUAUAUAUGGUCUCUAAUAAUCGAAGGUAAUGAAGAUCCAUCUUAUCUUCUACAUAUCUCUUUUUGAACCAUACAAGACUACGAACAUACUAAGAAGAAGACAAACUCCACUUCUUCCUAUAGAAGUGAAAAAUAAUGAAGAAUUUGAAAUGGAAGAAGUUCUAAAUUCAAGGCGGUGCCAAAAUAAAUUAAAAUAUCUUAUCCAUUAGCAUGGAUAUGAUAUUAGUGAAUGCACAUAAGAGCCAAUAAUGAAUCUUACAAAUGGAGCUUUUCAUCGACGACAUCCAUUUAAAUAAAGAUGAAGAAUAAUAAGUCUUUUGCUAUAAAAGAAACAAGGUCCAGAGAAGAUUGCAUUCUAACAUCUAUCUUUCUUUGUAACUUUUUUAUAUUUGUGAUACUAAGGAGAUAGAGAAUCAACAACCAGCAGAUUCAAUUCAAGAGCUUUUAUUUGCGGACUUAUCGGAUGAAACAUUACAAUUGUUACAACCUUUAAGAUGACAAAAUCAAGAUGAAGAUCCUGAAGAAUAACAUGUCUUUCCUCAAAUAGACGAUGAGAUAUAACAUGUUUGGUAUCAUGACCUUGGAAGAGACUCCCAAUGUUUGGUGGUUUUAUUAGAGGUAAGAACAACUCCUGAUGGUAUUCCAAAUAUUUUAUUUGAAAGAAGUUACAAAGGCCUCAAUAAUGACCAAAUAAUAGGAUUUUCUUCUCACCUUGAUAUGGAAUACUAUUGAUGGUUAAAGGAGCCUAUCAACUAUUUUUGAAGAGAAUAGAGAUCAGAGUAUGUGGCAAAUAUAAUUCGUUGCAUCUUGGAUUUACUCAACAUAUGAAGAUUGCUUCCCAUAGAACUCGUCCUUAGAAUGGAGGAUAAUAUCAUGGAUACAGACAUAUAAAUUAAUAAUUAUGUAUAUGAUUUAGAUAAAAGUAGAUAAAAGUAGAUUAAUUCUAUAAUAUCUUCUAUAGAAGCUUCAUAGAUGCUAUUUUGACUUUAUAGGUGUCUUUAAUUGACUUUUUAGAUUAGAUUAGAUUAAAUUGGUCAAAAAGUUGGCCAUGUGCCACACAUGUUGGUAGCUUGAAGAAUAAUAUAACUAUAUAGUCCACACAUAGAAAACUUGCCUUAUAAGCUAAGGCAUGUGUCUUACAAAGUCAACACAUAUUAGAAGUUCUAUAAAACAUUGCCACGUAGCUUUUAAUUAGAUAAUAUAUAUAGAGGCAAGAGUGAAGCCCUCUUCACUCUUGUCAACUCUUUUCUUGCUUUUAGUCUAGAUUUAAGAGUCUCUAGUUUCCUUGUCUUUUGACAAUAGCCAUUCUAAUUUCUUUUUAAUAUAGAUACUACUUUAUUGCUAUUUUGUCACUUUUUUUUUAACACAAAUUUUUCAAAUAUAUGCUUCUUCUUUCAGUUCAUGUUCUUGAUAAUAUAUUACUUAAGAAUCUCUCAAAAGCAAUUGUUAGAAGAAUUAAGCUCAAUAAUCUUUGUAGUUUUUAUGAAGCUGGCAUGUGCAUAAAUUUCAAGAUCAAGGAAAUUGGAUAAAAAUUGUAGCUUUUGUAUUCUAUUAUACAUGUAUUGUAAAAGUUUUUGGCUUCUAAAUUUCAAGCCAUGCUCUCAAAUUAUGACAAUCUUCUAACUAUAGUGAAAAGAAAUAGAAAUAAAAACCAAUUGUUAUUAAAAUUGUAGUUAGAGGCAAGUUUUUCUUUUUAGAUUUAUAGUUGCAAGACUUGCUUCAAUUUGUAGUUGAUCAAUUGUUAUUUAAGUAUCUAUUUAGGUUAUUUGUAUCAAAAAAACUUGUUGAGUUGGAAUUAAUAUUGGAGAACAAAAAGAUAGUAGAGAGCCUAAUAAAAAGUCACAAGAAGAGCUCAAAGUUUUGCUAGGAAGUUAUAUCACAUAAUUUACAACUAAAGCAAUCAUUUGAGUUUAAGUAGAAGUUCUACAUCUUGAUUCUAAUGUUAUGACUUAAAGAGCAGCAACAAUUCAAGAAGUAAGCUAAGUGGAGGUAUUAUCGUAAUAUGGAUUUUUUACAACUAUUAGUAAGAGUACAUGAAAUGAGAAUUGACAUCAAGGCUAAAAAUUGUUGAAUUUCAAGAAAUCAAUAAUAACUUUGGAUGUAGGUAAAUCAUAAAUUGAGUUUUUUUUUGAAGAUUAAUUAAAAAAUUAUACAAAUAAUGCACUAAAAAAUAUUUAUAUUCUUCUAAAAAAAUAUCUUAUUAAUCUUAGUAUUGAUUUGGAAUGGCGCUUCUAGUCUUUCUAUCAUCAAAAAUAAGUGUAGCAUAUUUAAUAAAAAACAAUUCUUUUUUUGUAACAUGUAUAAAAGCUCUUGUAUCUAUCAAUAAAGUUUUAGUUAAUUAAAAUUUUUAAUUGAACAAAUAAAUUUUACUUUAUACUAUACAAAAAUCAAAAUUACAAAAAAUCUAAACUAUGUGGAGAUUAUUUUUUUUUUAGUCACAAUAAUUUUAAGAUAAUUGAACUAUUACUAAACUUAAUAAGAAAAUAGUACUUUUAUUAAUAAGAGAAUAAUACUAAGUAUUGUACAAGAUUCUAAUUGUAUGGUCUCUAUUAUAAGUGGAGAAACUUAUUUUUUGACAAAUCAACUUCUUUGACAACCAUACUCUUUGUUCUGUGAUUACGUUGUUUUUUUGUAUACUAUAAAGUAUACUAUAAAGUAUAUUUUUCUUAAGUUUUCCACAACAUAAGCAUAAUUUUUUUUAAUAAUGUCAAAUCUUUUCUUGCUUAUUAAGAGAUUUGAAACGUAUGGUAUCAAUUUGCAUAAGUUUUGGCCUUGACGGAUAAGCUUUUAGAAACUUAGAAGUUGUCACUAUAACUUAACUUGUACCUCUUAAACCAAUUCUUUAAAUCAAGAACCUUGACUUCAAAUUUCACUCAUGAAAUGCUACAAUAUUCAAAAGCAACUAUUAAUGUUGCCAAUUCUCUAUUAUAAUUUACUACAACUUUUCCCACACCUUUAAAGGCACUGUAAACAAAAUUGUACAAUUGCAAGGUGGGAAACAGAAGCAAUGGACCCUUGGCAUACCUCUACAGUACAGAUGAAAAACUGGCUUCCAUUAGUAUUAGGCCCACGAUUUGCCAUGCUCAAAACUCCCUCUCCAGUAUGCCUCACUUAGCAUCAAUACCGUAUCUCAUGUCAGCCAUCAAUAGAAUAAUGCACACUGGCAAAUAUGGGGAAAAAAUCAGUAGGUUGUAACACUACUUACAAUUGAAGUUCUCAUCCUUAAAGGUAUUGCCGUAAAUACUAUAUCCACCAGUGCCCUGCAAUUAGCAUCUUAAAAACGGUUAGACUUAUGGAAAAACUUGUAAUUUGAAGUAAUGCUACUGCUCAUGAGGUAAAGAUCUACAUUAAAAAAUUUAAACACACAUGAUCAACGAAGGAUAGAAACGCACAUUGCGUUGGUCAAAAUCACCACCCUGGAUCAUAAAGUCAUUGAUUACACGGUGGAACGCCGAUCCCUUGUAACCAAAACGCCUCUCACCUAUCCAACUCAUAAGCAAUAGUCGACCUUCAGAUAUUUAAUAGCAGUAUCACGUAGGAUUAUUUCCCAGGUGGAUUAAUUUCAGAGCGUACCAACUGAUUGCGCAAUGUCAGGGUCAUAACACGCAAUUGCUCAUCCCUCUCAUUCAAGGAAACUCUUCAACCCACACGCUUACCAUCAUCAGAACAGGGUGGAACAUACAGUGAAUCGUCGUAAUUCGCAUUCACUUUUGGAACUGCAAGACGAGCAGACUUUCGAAACGCAUGCUCGACAAAUUGUUACUUGCAUCAACCGACAAAUGCAGCGAACGAUGAAACUGGAAACGAUGCUGAAUACGCCAAAAAUGUAGCAAUACAGGUGGGAUGAAGUAGAAAAAAGGAGAGGAUAUCCCUGACCCGUGCAAAGACAACGGAAGUUUUCGACGGUAUCAGGGACUGUGUCACCGAAGAGCCCAAUAAUGAUGCGACCACACGGCUUGUCGUCAAUUUCGAUGUCGAAGAAGCAUUUCUUAGUCACCUUAGUCGUCACUUCUGAGGGCUGCCAUGUCCAGACACCAUAGCAGUUUAAAUCUUACUGUGGAAGAAUGUAGGAAAUAAAAAUAAUAAUAACAAUAAUAAUAUUAAAACCAUUACCAGUGCUACUAGGUCUACCAGACACUACUAUGCACAAUGCUUUGACAUAGACACCACGAAAAGUUCCAUCAGAAGACGAGAACGGCAACUGACCACCUGUGCCGCCCUGACGUUGACCUGCUUCCUGCACAUAUUUGACGCCGAAUCUGUGCACGAUUGCUGGAAGGUGGCUACGAAGCCACUGUGUGACAAUCCUAAGGUCGCAUGUCUACUGCCACGUAUAACCACAGAGCUCACAGAGCUCGCACUCGUUUCCACACUGGUCCUUAGUGAAGAGACUUGCGACACCACAUUGCUCUGCAAAGCCGCCACUCAAACUCGACAUCAGCAAAAUCGUAAAAGGAAGAAAUUUGGGUGUCCCCAAAUCAAUCAAUAACGCCACCCUCACAUUCCUUAUCAAUACCGAAUCAUGUAACCCAGUGCCGCAAGUGAUUACAGACCGGGGCUCCUAACGAAUCAGAAACGAGAAGAUUCAUACAAAUACUUGGCAGGCGGCCAUGGCUGAAGCUGAAGCAGAUAAAUGUGUCCACUAUCUCACUGAUACGAAGUGGACACAACUUGAGCAGCUGGAAGAAGAGCUUGCAUGCACUAGAUGAAUGAGGAUGAAUCGGGGCUUCACAGAUCUCUUUGAUUUCCUCCAUCUUUUUUUAAAUAGACUCAUGCUUUUACAAAAUAUACUGCAGCCUCAUGAAGAAUAUGAUAAUGAUGAAUGUGGUUAAUUUUUAUUAGUUGCAAAUCUAGUAAUGGAGAAAUGCAUCAAGAAAUUAUUAUUUUUUUUUUCAUGAUGGUUAGAAUGGGUGGAUCAAUUUUGGAUCUAUUUAACAUUCUUGUAUAUAUAUAUAUAUAUAUAUUAAAAAAUAAAUAGACUCAUUCCAAAAUGAUUGAAAAUUGAAUAUUGAAAAGCAUUAGUGAAGGAUAUAAAACAUCUUAUUUUAUCUCUAAAUGUAGUCUUCAUGAAACAAAGUAGAAUUGUAUAUACAAUCUUCAUCAAAAACAUUUAAGUCAUUACAUUAUCAAGACAUUCUACUUAUCAUGUUUUGAAAUAUUUAAACAUUUUGAACAUUUAAACUAUUAAGAAUUAGAUAUCAAAACUCCAACAUAAUUAGAGUACUAUAAUAAUGUAUUAAUGAAGCCAAUUUACAUAUUGACAACUAUCUAAGUGAACAUUUGAUAGAAUUUGUGCUUUUGAGAGGUUGUUGCCCAACUUGUUUUUAUGAGGGAUUUCAUGAUGCAUAGAAACAUGUAUGAAUGUACUUUUAAUAUGUUUUAACACUAUAUUGUUUAUGAGAAGCAAUUGUUCAUUCAGUCUAGUUGCAUAGAAAAUAUUUUACUUUUAUUUUUAUCUUAGUUUUUUUCAUACAAUCUUUUAUCCCCACAAUAAUUUUGUUCACAAAUUAUUAUUUAAACCAAAAUAUAUUUUAUCUUGAAUUUUCAACAAUAGAAAUUCUCACCAUCAAACUUGUCAAUAAUGAUGAUACUAUUAUCUUUAUAUAAUGUCAAUAUUAAUAUAAGCUUAGUUUUCAAGUAUAUCAUAAGAUAUAUGUGUAUGUAUAUAUACAUGUAUAAGACUAUACAUAAAAAAAGAAAAAAAAAGUAGAUAUUGCAUAAUUAAGAUAGGUAAUCCAUUGUCAAUUUGUCUUUUCAUUUCCAACAUAUAGGUGUAAUAUGUCUAUUAGUUUGGCUACUAGAACUAACAUCAAACAAAAAAAUUCUAUUUCUAUUGAUUAGAAAUAAGUCAUGGAUUGGUAAAACAAUGUUAAAUUAUAAGCAAUAAAUAAAAUUCAUUGUACUUAUAAUGGACUAGCAUGAAGUAUCAAUAAGUAGAAGUUGUUGAUUGAUUUGGGUGGAAAAAUAAUAUAAUUAGGUGCCACACUUCUCUCAAUAGCAUUAAUAGGUGCCACACAUUAUGGUUUUGUAAAAGUUAGAUUUGCAGUUUUGUAACCACCACCAGUUGGAAUUACGUAGGCUUAUAUGUCCAAAAUGGGUCAAAGAGAAUGUUUAGCUAAAACAUUUAUAUAAAAUACAUUUUUGGGCCAAAUUGUGUGAAAACACUUGGAAUCCCCCUCAUUUCUAUUUUACUACAUGGGGAUUUUUUUUUUUUUUUUUUUUUUUUUUUUCAAUUUUUACACCCUAUGGAUAUAUGCUGAAAUGCUUAAGUUACUGAAAAUAAGUUCUCUACCUCAAACAAAGAAAGAGUGAACAUAAAAAUGAACAUGAAAAAAUGCAGAACCUAGAACCGCUUUUCCUUAGCAAGGUGGCAGUUUAACAAUGAUCAGGACAGGGCACGUUAUUCGAGACGUAGUUGCUGACACUCCCCAUGAUGCUCCUGCCAAAGGAAACCGUGACACAGCUCAGAAUUGGCAUGAACAAUUUCGACAGCGAAAAGAACGUUGAUGUUGUUGUUGCGGAUUUUUCACCUUCUAGAGACAGAGACAGCAAGAGGGAGGGAGAGAGAGAGAUACUUCCAGAACAUGACCCACGACAUCAGGAUUGGAUGUGGAACCCCACGCAAUUGUUGCUCUAGAAAUGAAGUUGGCGUGACAAACCACCUUUUUCUAGGAGGAAAAACAGACCACGAAGUGAUGGGACAUCAUUGGAGGCAAGAGGGCGAUUGUAAUAUCUUUUGAGCUUGCUGUGGCCUCGGCAUCCCAUAAUGAGGUGAUCGAGCGGGGCAUCAGCAUUGCAAAUCAUCUCCUUCUGGUCUCCCCAGUAUAGCUUAAAGACCACGACGAUCUGCAAGGCGUGACCCUAGUCUGUUAGCUUUCCAGUGAUAAACCAGACAUGCUGUGAGAAACGAUGUUAGAUUUGGUAGGAGUGAGGGUUGGGCGGACAGUGGUCACCUUCUUUGCUUCCGCUUCAUGUAGCGUCUUUGUUACUUCCUCGUCAAUCUUCAGGUGGUAUGCAUGUUGAUUGUGUGGGUUCUCUGCAGCGGCUAAUGGGAUGAAAGCUGCAAAAGCAAAAAUGAAAUAUGAACAAAUUACCUGAUUCAUCUCAAGGGACAAACUAGUACAGUUGAUAAAACAUAAAGAUGCACCGCUUUGAGUGAGGCUCACUUUUUGCUGCAAGCUACCAACAGCUAGACUUGAGCGUAAUGGCUACAUUUCAACCAGCUAAUCGUGGCUCUAUGGCAGACUUGAAGGUUGCGGAACUCUAAAUGUGAAUUUUUACAUAGAUUCGCCACAGAUCAUCAUUUGAUGUGGAAAUUUGAACCUGAGACUAUCCCAGAAAAAUUGGUGAAAUCAAAUAGAAUUAUGUUAAUGGAGACGUCAGGGAGUUUCAUCCAAGGUUGUCCCGAGAAUCGAAUCCGAAUCAAGUACUUCAGAGACCUUUUCAAAACCAGGUAGAGAGCUAAAUUUUUAGGAAUUCUCCACCACAAUGUAGGGUUUCUGGAAGAAAAGGGCAAGAGGAUUCUUACAAGUGCCAGAAGCUUCCCAUAGAGCUGCUCGACCAGCUUCGAGUCCAUCCUUGUUCACAACCACAACAAUGAAAUGAUCGAUUGCCCGCAGGAUGUUCUCCACAGCCCAGUGCAGAGCAUACCUGCCUCUUGGUGAGUAAUCCAGCGCUACUCCGACAUGCCUCUCUCCGUUCAUUUUCACAAGCUCCACAAGCUGGCUUCUGGAAAGCUUAACCUUUCCUGCAAGAGAAGAUAUUUUGAAGUCAAGAAUCAUCUGCCACUCAACUCAACAAUGGCUAAUGGUGACGAUGAAAAUCACAGCAGAACGGCGACUUGAGAUCCCUAGUAAGGCCUUUCAGUAAUGUCCAGUUCUCAAUUAAUCUUUCCUAGGUACAGCCCGCAUAGAAGAAUCGAGCAGCGGAGAGCCACAUAGCACAAUGUCUUCCAAAGGACGCAGUGCAGGUAUGUGGGGAGGGGGGGGGGUUUUAGCUGUUAUUAUGCCCUUUGAGUAGUUGGUAAUCCUGGAGUAGAAGCAAUUGCGUCGCAAUCAGUCCUCAUCGGACCUCACACAUCAGAGCUUCAAAAUUGGCAGCCAGGUCUGUCACGCCGCUACUCACACAACUCUCGGCGUAGGCAUGUUAAUGCGACUCCUCGACUUACCGUCGGCGAGCAUGGUGGGGUAGACUCUCUCAGUCAGGAAGUAUUCAUCACUGCAUUUGUGCGCAGAAAAGUUGCACACAAACUGGAGGUCGUUUUGCAGGUUAUGUAAAUUUGUUUACAGAUAGUAUAUUGGAGGUCAUUUUGUAGGUUGUGUGAAAUAGUUUACAAAAAGUAAAUUAGAGGUCAUUUUGCAGGUUAUGUGAAGUUGUUUAUAGAUAGUAAAUUGGAGGUCAUUUUGAAUGUUAUGUAAAGUUGUCUUUAGAAAGUAAAUUGGAGGUCAUUUUGCAAGUUAUAUGAAGUUGUUUAAAGAUAGUAAAUUGGAGGUUAUUUUGCAAGUUAUGUGAAGUUGUUUAUAGAUAGUAAAUUAGAGGUCAUGUUGUAGAUUAUAUGAAGUUAUUUAUAGAUAGUAAAUUAGAAGUCGUUUUGCAAGUUAUGUGAAGUUGUUUAUGGAUAGUAAAUUGAAGGUCAUAUUGAAGGUUGUGUGAAGUUUUUUAUACAUAGUAAAUUGGAGGUCAUUUUGCUAGUUAUGUGAAGUUGUUUAUAGAUAGUAAAUUGAAGGUCAUUUUGUAGGUUAUGUGAAGUUAUUUAUAGAUAGUAAAUUGGAAGUCAUUUUGCAAGUUGUCUGAAGUUGUUUAUAGAUAAUAAAUUUGAGGUCGUUUUGUAGGUUAUGUGAAGUUAUUUAUAGAUAGUAAAUUGGAGGUCAUUUUGCAGGUUAUGUGAGGUGGUUUAUAGAUAGUAAAUUGGAGGUCAUUUUACAGGUUAUGUUAAGUUGUAUAUAGAUAGUAAAUUGGAAGUCAUUUUGUAGGUUGUCUGAAGUUGUUUAUAGAUAGUAAAUUUGAGGUUAUUUUGUAGAUUAUGUGAAGUUAUUUAUAGAUAGUAAAUUAGAGGUUAUUUUACUAGUUAUAUGAAGUUAUUUAUAGAUAGUAAAUUAGAGGUCAUUUUCUAAGUUAUGUAAAGUUGAUUAUAGAUAGUAAAUUGGAGGUCAUUUUGCAGGUUAUGUUAAGUUGUUUAUAGAUAGUAAAUUGAAGGUCAUUUUGCAAGUUAUGUGAUGUUAUUUAAAGAUAGUAAAUUGGAGGUCAUUUUGUAGGUUAUGUAAAGUUGAUUAUAGAUAGUAAAUUGGAGGUCAUUUUGGAAUUUAUUUGAAGUUGUUUAUAGAUAGUAAAUUCGAGGUCAUUUUGUAGGUUCAUUGAACUUGUUAAAAGAUAGUAAACUUGAGGUCAUUUUGCUAGUUGUGUGAAGUUAUUUAUAAAUAGUAAAUUAGAGGUUAUUUUGCUAGUUCUCUCAAGUUAUUUAAAGAUAGUAAAUUAGAGGUCAUUUUGAAGGUNNNNNNNNNNNNNNNNNNNNNNNNNNNNNNNNNNNNNNNNNNNNNNNNNNNNNNNNNNNNNNNNNNNNNNNNNNNNNNNNNNNNNNNNNNNNNNNNNNNNCUUCUAAUCUUAUUAAUGUAGGAUUUUUUGAUAUAAAGGUAGAUUUUUGAAAGGAGAUAUGGAUUUCUUUGAGUUUAUCAAAAAUCUAACUUAUUGGCAAAUAGUUAAUUAUGAUUUGGUAUAAAAAAGAUAUUAGGAUAUUUCUAUAUACUUUAAAUAGCCUUAUGUAUAAAGAUUCUUAAAUAUAAAAGGAUUUUAAUGAAUAGAAUAUCUUUUGAUAUUAUUGUAUUUAUUUUUCUUUUAUAAUAAGGAUAUAUUACUUAUUGGAACUUAGCCAAUAAGUUAAAACUAAACUCUCUACAACUAAAUAUCUAGUAUAUUUCUAUAUUUAAAAUCAUGCUAUAUAAUAAUGUUGUGAAUUAGAGCUCUACAUGCAAAAAAAUUAUAGUCUUCUUGAGUACAAAAGAAAAAUACAUUGUCAUAGCGAUGAUUGCUUAUAAAUUAAUUUGGCUUUAUCAUUUACUACACAUCAUUUGCAAAGAUGUCAUAGUUCUAAUGUUUAUCAAUUGUGACAACUAAUUUGCUCUCAUCUUGGUCAACACCACAAAAUUCUACAACUGUACCAAAUAUAUCGUCAUCUAGUAUCAUUUCCUUUACCAAAUUGCGGCCCUCUUAAAAUUAUCAUUUGUUUAUUGUUCUAUAAGAAACAUAUACAUUGACUAACUUAUGAAAUUCUUGUUCUACUCAAAAAUCACUAAGUAUAUAUAUUUAUUAGGUGUAUUUAGAGAAGAAACUCCAUCAUCUAUAACUAUUAGCAAAGAGGGCAUAUUGUAAUCCUAAUGAUAGAGUUUAGCUAAUAUCUUGUGGGAUUCUAUUGCUAUAAUAAAUAGAACAAAUAUAUCUUGUUAAGAAGUUGCAAUCCAACUAGUCAUGAUUUCCUUCAAAAAACAUAAUUUGUACACAAUAUAAUUACAAUUAAUAAAAAAGAUAAUAAUUAAAUUAUUUUCACAAAGACAAUCUCAAUAUAAAGGUGAUUAUUGAACUUGCGCAACUUAUAAGACUUACAAUUUCAGCACUCUCAUCAAAAUACAAGAGUACAUGGUAAGGACAUUCUUACAACAUGUAUGUGGUGGUUACAUUAUAAUCCAAAAUAGGAGUCAAUAUGACAAAAUAAGAUGGUAUGCCAAAUAUUUAAUUGGCAAAGUAAAAUUAGAAGCUACAAAUAUUAAUCAACAAUAAAAUUUUAAGAUCCAAAAGUUUGUUGAUAAAAAAAAAUGGAUUUGAAUUCAUCUAUAAAAAAAGAGAGACUUGUAUAUAUUAGCUGCUAAAGUUGCAAAAACAUGCAAGAAAGGGACAACGUAUCAAGCAUAAUAGAGCAUCUUUUUUUAAGUACUAUUUUAUAUUAUUCUAUAAUUAGAUGUUCAAAUAUUCUUUAUAAGUCUUGAUUGUGGACAAUAAAAUUUAAGAACUUAUAGCAAAAUUGGCAUAAAAAAAUAAAAGCUACAAAAUAGCAACAAAGAUUUUUUUUUUAGUCGAAUAUCUAAGGUGAUAAGUGAUUCAAAAAAAUUCAAGUAUUAUGCACUAUUUACCAUUAUUGUGGUUGCAAUUAUCAAUGCCUUUUAAACUUCAUAUAGUUAAAAAAAAACUUUGACUAAUUAAAAUAGUGUUUGAUUAUAGAUAUUAUUAUUAUAAAGAAAAUUCUAUUCUUGUGUAGAUAGACAAUAGAGAUGGAGGUUCAAAGUCUUAGAUUUGAUAUUGUGAAGCAAUUACAUGGGAAAAGGAGUUGGAAAAGUAUAGAGUUAUUGCAUGGUGGGAUAUUUGCUGAUGGUAUUUUUCUUGGCAACUAAAUAAAAUGAGUAGUGAGAAAUAAGAGAUUCUAUGCAAUUAAAUUUUUUUUGUAGUAAUUUAUUCAACAAAAGAGUGGAAACUUUAGAAAAAAAAUAUUGAACCAAAAACAAUUAUGAAGUGGAUUUAUCCUUAUAAACAAUGAAGAUUGAAGAUUUUUUUAGAAAUAAAAUAUAUUUUAUUUAUUUAUUAUAGGAUAGAAGAGAUUAGAAGAAGUUGAGCACAAGAAAAAAAUAAAUGUAAGAAUGCAAAACAUGGUGAAAAUCCUUAUAUUAAAGAAGUGUAGAAAUCAAAAUGAAGUAGUAAUUCAAAAAAUUUAUUAUUUCUAAAUUAAAAUAGAUUCAUCUAUAAUAUCAUAAUUGGUCUUAAAUUUAUUGAUUAAAUUUGAUGAAUAAAAAUUUAUAUAUUAGUAUUUUUUUGUAUAUUGGUUGUAAGAUAUCUUGAUAUAUUUAAUAAGGUAGUAACGUCUCUCUAAUUGGUAGCUUGAAUCAAUCAUUUUAAUUAUAAAGAAUAAUAUCUUAGGUUUCUUUGUAACAAAAUUCUUUCUAUAGUUUAUCAAUUUUGGAUGUCAAUUGCAAAAUUGAUUCUUAAGAUUCUCAAAUAUAAGAUUUUAGCCUAAAUGAUAUCAUUUUUUAAAUAAAGAAUUACUUUAUUAUAGCAUUGGAUGAUACUUUAGUAUAGAAUUAUUAGUAACUGUAAUACUAAGUCUUUUAUUUUGCAAAAAUAUAAGUCAAUUGCUUUACUUGUACUUAUAUGAAGGUCAUUUAAUUAAUUACUUAAUAAAAUUACAUAUAAUAUUAUUCAAAUUACUUUUAUAUAUAUAUAUAUAUAUAUAUAUAUAUAUUUUUUAAUAUUAUGUAUUUUUAUCUAAUUUUAGAAUUCUUCCAAUGGUUGUCACUAGAAUUUAAUCUUAGCAUAGUAGUCUAAGGUCAUUUGAAAUAGGCUUAAUUAAUGAGAUUUUUUGUAGCAUUUUUUGCAUUACAAAUAAUCAAACCUAUAGACAAGCUUAUUAAGAUUUAUUUCUUUUUAUCUUCUUUAAGUUGAAAUUUUAAUAAACAAGUAUGAUGUAUCAUUUUAAUUUUUUAGAUAAAUCAUCAAUCUGAGAUAUUCAAUAUUUUUUCUAGUUUCUAUUAUUAGUGGAUUUGUUUUCUUAAAUUGACAUACUUAGUAUUAUUUAAAAUAUAAAAUUAGAAUAUAUAUGUAUUUUUUAAAAUCCUUAAUUUUUUCAUGUGGUUUUGAUUGUUAUUUUAUUGUCUUAUUUACUUAUUGCUAAUUAAAAAAAUCAUUGCUACUUUAUAUUCUUAUUUCUUGAAUGAAUUUCUUUUAAAACUUUAUUCAUUAAUUUCAUGCUUUUGGCUUUUUCUCCCUAUUAGUGGCACUAAAUAUUGUUCAACUUUCUUCUUGUUAAUAGGACUUAGUUAAAUUCUAUAGAAUUUAAACAUAAAGAGGAAAAUAACCAAAUAGGAAGUUCAAACAAAGCAUAACUUAAUUCAAUAGUUUUGGAUUAAUAAUUUAUAUUUUUUAAUCCAUAUUAUAAACAACCUAUUAAUUAUACUAAUAGGUAUAAACUUUAGUUUAAGAAAUAAUUGUAGGACUAUCUUCUUGGUUAAAUAUAUAGAUUUUUUAUUAAUAUCUAUUAAAAUCAUAUAAAAUAUCAAAAAAAUAUACAAUAUUUUUUGAAAAAAAUCUAAUUUUAUUUCUAAAUCUUCCAAUCUUUUCUUAUUGGUGACAUCUUUGUAACUAAUAGGUGUCUUACCAUUGGAUUUUUUUUAAAUAUUAUGGAUUUUAGUUGUAACAAAUAUAAUUAAUUCAUAAAUCUAUUCAGCAAGAACUAAUCUCUUAAAAAUCUACUAGUAAAUUAAUUAAGAUUAGAUAUUUAAUUUUGAUGAUAUUAUUAUUAAAAUUAAAAAAAUUAAAAAUUAAAAAAAUCAGUCAAUAAAGCUAUAAAAUGUUCAUAAACUACAAGGUUUUAGUCUUAUCCUCCUACCCAUAUCCAAGGUGCUAUAAUCUAUAUAGAAAAUAUUUAUAAUCUGUCUUAUAAAUACUACUAUAAGUUUUAAUAGUAAAAUAUAUUAUUUUCUAUUUUGGUUUAAAUCAUGGUUUUCAAAAAUAUCCAAGUAGCCUCAAAAUUUGAUGAAGCCUUUAAAUUUUACUCCAAUUUUUAUAAUAACCUUCUAAAGUAGUAAAAUUAUUCUUUCCAAAAUCUUAAAAACUUGUUCUAUAAUUUCUAAAUAAUUCUAAAUAAAUUCUAAAAGUCUUAUUAUUUUUUUAAUACUAAUGAAAAUUUAAUAAUAUUUUACACUUCUUUAAUGAUUUUUUAUUGAGAUAAAAAUAUCAUAAUUCAAAUAAAUAUUCUAUUUUCUAUAUAUAUAACUAAAAAGCCAUAAAAUAUUUAUUUUUUAUUCUUCUUCUAUCUAUUAAUUAUUAAUUAUAGGCUUUUUUUACGUAAAAAAUAUAAUUAAAUAAUAGUUAUUAUAUUAUAAGACAUUAGUCUUAAUAACUAAAUAAUAAUUAUUACAAUCAAGAAAAUAUAAAAAAUCAACUUAAACAUCCAUCUCCUAAAUUUAUAAAGAUUUUAAUUUAAUUAAUAAUUACUAUAUAAGACUCUCUUUGCUUAUAUAAUCUUCUAAAUCCUAAUAAAUACUUACAUGAUUAAACAAAUAAUUUUAUUUUUAACUUUUUUAUACCUAAACAACAUUAAUAUUUUAUAUGUAACAAUUCUAUCAAUUAAGAUGUAUUAAUGGAGCUCACAAGGGCCCUUUAAUCCUAAAAAUUUAAAAAAUAAAACUAAUGUAUUUAAAAUAAUUAUUAAUUUUAUUAAGCAUAUAUGAAAAAAAAAUAGACAUAAUAAAAUUUUGGAUAUUAUUGAGCACCUUAUGAUCAAAACUUAAAUAGUUUUAUAUUAAUUUUUAAGAUGAACAAUUUCUUUAUUUUUUUAUUUUAAAUAUAUUAAUUUAAUUUUUUUUUUAGAUUUUUUUAUUUUUAUAAAUACUCUUUGAUUUAGAAAUACAAAUUUCUUUCUUGUGGGAUUAUUUGAGAGUUUAUAUUUUUUUAUUUAAUGAAUUUUAAAAUUUUAUCUUUUUAAAUAAAUUUAUCUAUUUUUUGAAUUUUAUAAUUUUUUAUUUAGUAAUUAUAGUCAAAUUCUUUACACUUCUUAUAUUUCUUUUUUUUUCUAAAUUUUUAGUUAUUGUCAUGAGAAAUUAUCUUAAAAUUUAAUUUAUUUUCUUAUUUAGAAAUUUUAUACCUUUAUCUUAGUUUCUAUAUUUUUAGUUCAAAAAUAGUAAAAAUAUUUUAAAUAUUUUAAAUUUUAAUUAUUUAUUUUUAGAAAAAUAUAUCAAAUCUAUUUUUAAAUUAUAUUAAAAAAUUAUUUUUAAAAUUUUUUUCCAAUUAAGUUAGUAUAUAGUAUUUUAUUUUAAAGAUUUUUCAUAUAGUCUAAUACAAUUUUCUUUCUAUUGCUUAAUUUAAUGUAAUAAUUAACCUUAUUUACAUAAAUGUUUUUACUUUUAUUUGAUUUAAUAUCAAUUAUUUAAAUCCAAUCAAAUACCAACUAAAUUUUUAAUUAUUUAUUUAUUUAUUUAUUUUAAUUGUAAAAAUCUGAUGUUAUAUUUUUUAAGACUUUAACGAGUUUCUACAUUGACUAUUUUUGUUUCUCAAUCUAAAUAGUUUUAUAUAUUUUUAUAUUUUUAAAAUUAAAUUUUAUUCUUUUAGUCAUUUUUUCUUUUUAAAUUAGAUAAUAUCAAUUUUAAUUUUUUAUCUUAUUUUUUUUUCUAUCAAAUAGUUUAAAAUUUUAAAUUAUAAUGGGUUUUUUUAUAAUAAAAUAAAUUAAUCUUUCAACCGUUUAUUUAGUUUGCAAACAUCUUUGUUUGCCAUUUCUAUUCUUGUAUCUUAAACAUUAAAAUAAUUUUUUGAUUACUAUCUUUUAAGAAAAUUUCUUACAUUAUUUUUUCUUCUAUAGUUCUAUGUAAUUUUUAUUUUUCUAUAAAAAUAAUUUAAAGAAAUUAUAUCUUCUUUAUUUUAAUCUUUAAGUUUUAUAUAUGUUUAUAAUUUCUUAAGAAAACAAAACCUUUUAAAAAAAAUCUUAUAUAGUCAUAAAAAGAAUUAUAUUAUCUUUUACUUUUAUUUUAAAGAUCAUUUUAAUUUUUUUUGAUGAAUAAUCUUAAUUUGAAUAUUAUUUUUAAAUUAUGUCUUUUAUUAUGGAUUGAAAAAAACAUUGGCAUGUUAUAAUACGGCUACUUGAUAAAAAAGUAAAAAUAUAAGAUAUAUAAAUAAAAUUUCAAUAAAAAAUUUAAUUGAUAUUUUUUAUAUAAUUUAAAAGCUAAUAAAUUUAAUUUAAUAAUAGAAAAUAUGUUUUGUGAUGCCUUUUAAAUUAAAUAAAACCUGUUCUUUUAUAAUAGGAUCAUAAAUUGGUCAUAACAAGGUGUAAUCGACAUAUAUAUAUAUAUAUAUAUAUAUGUACUUCUAGGAUAAGGUUAAAUUUAUAUUCUUUUAAAUUUUAAUAAUAAAAUAAUAAAAUUUAUCCUUAAAAGAUAAUUGUUUAUAAGACAAGAUUAAAUUUUAACUCCACAAUACAAAAACAAGAGUCUAUAGCAAGUAGAGGAUCUUUUUGGAUUUUGCAAAGUAUAAUUAGAGAGCUAGUGUUAUAAACAUUUUAAAAAUAUAAUUUUUUUUAACACAUGACUUUUAAAAAAUAUUCAAUAGAAAUCAAAGGUAAAAUUUUUCAAGAAACAAUGUUUUAAAAGCAAUCAAUUUUAGUUAAAUUUUGGAUUUAAUUUUUAUACUUUGUACUUAAUUUAUAAUUAAAUUUUGCAAUUAUAUGGAUAUAUAAGAAAUAUAUAUAUAUAUAUAUAUAUAUAUUUUAUUAAUAAAAUUAUUUAUAUAUUUGAUCAUAUAUACAAGAAUAUAUUAAAAUUAGAUGAUUUAAGAUUAGUCAUAAUUUCUUAAAGUUCUAUAGAUAUAUAAAUAAUAAAAGAAGAAAAUUUUAAAUUAAAUUAAAUUAAAUUCCAAAAUAAAAUAUAAAUUAAAAACAUCAAAACUAAGAUUAAUAAAUGCUUAAGUUAAAAAUUAAUAAUUGAAAUACAAAAAUCAUCCACUAGAAAUCUUUAUUAUUUUUGGAAUAUUAAAGAAGCAACAUGAAAUGAAGAUUCUAUGAGAAUAACUAUUAAUUUAAAAUUUGGAUCUCCUUUAGAUUUUUUAACUACAAAAUUUUUUAAAUUAAUUAAUAUUUUAAUAUUUUAAAACUCAUCCAAUACCUCAAUUAUGAGUUGUGUCUUAUUAUAGUUUAUUAAUUAAAAUUUAAAAUUUGCUUAAAGUUUGCUUAGAAUAAUAAAAGUUUAGUGGAGGUUCUAGAGGGUUUUUAAGGUUUGGUAGAAUUUGAUAAUUUUUUAUUUAUUAUUUUUUUUGCUUUUAUUGAGACCAGGAUUAGGAUUUAAGAUUUGGUAGAAUUUGACAAAAUUUAGAAUUUGAUAAAAUUUAUUUUUUAAAAUUAGAUAUGAUAUUGGGUUUAAAGUUGUUUGGUUUAGGAUUGUUAAGAAGAUUGAAAUUGAUGAAAAUUGAUAUCUCAAGCACCUUAUUUUUUUUAUUACAAGAUAAUUUUGUGCCAUAAAAAAAAAUCUUUCACAACCAGGUGUUCGACACAUUCCCAAACUUAACUUUAUAUAAUAUGCCUCUGUAAGAUGAUUCUUUACAAACUCCUAAAUUUAAUACUUGUAGUACUAACCUUAAAAGUUUUGAUGUUCCAUGUGAUGACUUACUAGUAACUAUUGUACAAAUGCUACAUGAUUAUUGAAUCAAUCUUAAUAUUUAACACUACUUAAAUGUCUUCGUCAUGAAGAUUCAUUUUUUAGAAUCUACUGCAAGAUGAUAUCUCCCAAACAACUUUGCUCUCUAAUACUCCAACUAUUGUCAAGUGAAUACAUCUGAACACACUAAAACCAUACAAUAGAAUCGCAUUGCAGUGACUUUUACAAAGCUAAGGUUCAGACAAGAAAGUCCCUGCUUGUAGUUACUGUACCAACGCCCAACGAAUUUUGUCAACAAUCGAAGAGAUCGCCUUCGUCCCUAUAACGGACUCCUGCUAAAUCCAAGAGGCGAUUCGAGCCUGAGAGCAUCCCAAAAUUGCAGUUUACAGUCAGCUGCAGAGGUUUAGGUCCUGGGAAGAUCAGGGGCAGCCAGCCUAUUCCUGCGUCCACUCGGUCAAACAAGAUGUUCUGGAUUGUCAUCAGGUCGCCCGGAGGAUCCACAUCCUCAGCUUCCAGAGACGGCCAGUGGCUAUUUAGAACUCCUCUUCAGAAGAUGACCUUGACCUCUUGCAGGAUCAAGUUUAAAAGCCUUAACAGAGGCGAAUAGUCAAUUUCCUUCAUCGUACCUAGUCUAGGCUGUGGGACUAUGCUGCGAUCAAUUUCUUGCUCCCAUUCGGAUUCAAUAACCCGACCGCCCCAUAAGUUGCCCUCUCUGCGCCCUCUUAUGUCCCAGCUUGAGAGCUCCUAAGUCUCAUGCAAGUCUCCUAAGUCGCGCAGGCUCGGUGAUCAUCCUCGCCUUGAUGCUUGUCUAACGGCUGUGUGUUAGCUUGCAUGGUGGGCCUCACGGAGGCCGAUCGCUGCAGUGCUUGACCUCCCACGACCCAUACGGAUGCAAUCGAGCGGCAAAGUCUUUAGAAUUCUGAGAAGCUGAGCCCAGGGUGAACGGGUUCCAUCCACCGCUGAACCUCCUUGAACUGCAAGGAGAAUCCCCUCACUCAAGCCGUAAUCGUAGUCAGGCCAUUCUAUAGGUCGAUCUCAUCCACAGUUAGCAUCGCAAUCCUUUGUGGGUGGCGGCCGUAUUUUCCACCCUCAAACAUUGCGACUUUGGGAAUCGAAGGGAAGCCAGCUGUGUACAACGAGCACAUCCGUGUCCGUUGGGUUGCGGCGAAAGUGACUCAAUCCAGCUGAAAACGAAUACGUCGGUCAACGACGUGAUGGACUUGUGAAACGGAACUCACGUGACUUGGGCCAUCGCCAAACAUGUCCAAGGUGCUAUGAAUUUUUGAUGCUGCAAAGGCAUUUUUGAGGAGUUUCAAGUUUUUGUAAAGUGCAUUUUUAGGCCAUCUAAUUUUGCAACCUGAAAGCAUUAUUCAAUUUGUGUAGGAGUAAGUUGCUAUCUCAGAUAAAUUGUAAGAUGUUUGAGCAUUAAAGCAAGGUUGAGGGCACAAUGUGGGAUUGUUAAUAGUAAAUAUAAUUUUGUUGUUCUGUAAAUUGUUCUAAAUACGUUCUCGUUUUCAAUUAGUUUCAAAAGAAACUCUUUGAAUCAAUCUUGGAGUAAAUUUAUCAAACUUGAGAUUGAGAUAUAUAUAUGUUUCAUCAAAAUAAAAAAUUCAAUAAUUUAAGAUAUAUUAAUUUACUGAUUUGAUGUAAAAAAAAACAAUAAAUCCUUUUAAUUUAUCUCAAAUAUAUAUUAUUAUUUUUUAUUCAAUUCAACACCACAUAAUUGUAAUAGGUCAAAUGUAUGUGUAUAUCUUUUGCAAAAUGUUAUUCAAUUUCAACACAAAAUGAUUUAUGCUUGAAGCUCAAUAUUGGUUUGUAUAUCAGUAGUAAUUCUUUGGUUGAUUGAAUUCAUUAAAAUAAAAAAUAAAAAAUAACAUUUGUAUCUUGUGUUAUUGCAGUAACCAUCAUAAUAAUACUCUACAUCAACAAAAUAUAGCCUUUGGUACAGAAGUUCAAACAUAUUAUCAAAUGCAAAAUUAGUAAUUUUAAAAACAUAAAUUAAUAAUUAUAUAAAUAUGAACUACUUUAAGACGUUCAAAUAAUAUAGUAUACAUUAGUGUUCUUUUUACAUGACUGAAGUAACUGCUAAAUCGGGGUAUUCUUUACAUGUAUUUGAACAACUUUAUUAGCAUAUAUUGUUUUCAGAAUAAUAAUCAUUUUACAACAAUAUCAUAUAUAUAUAUAUAUAUAUAUAUAUUCAUAAAUAUUACAUUGCUCAAGUAUAAAACUAAGAUGUUUUUACAUACAUUUCAUAUUUGAAUAUGUACAAUGAUUCCAUGAGUACAUCCCAUGUUUUAAGUUGAAACUUACAGCUAUUUGUGCCGAUUGGACAUAUGCAGCUGUUCACAGCAAUUUGGCUAUUGGUUUCUUGCCUUUCAAGACGAUAGUGUGAAUUUCCAAGCAGUUCGGAUUUGUUGAAAAGUUCUAAGACAUAAAAGAUUGAUUCAUUAAAUUGAAGGUGAGAGUAUACUUCAAAAAAACCAUUGUCAAGAGUAGCUAUAUGCAUUGUAGUUUCGACAGGUCUUUGUUUCAUGUUGAUAGAUAUGUAUUACUGUGCGACAAAUGUGAAUUCGCUUUGAAAUGUAGACCAUUCGGCCCCAAUUGACCGCCACAUUUGUUUUGAAAGCGCUACUCAGAAUAAAGUCACAUGUUCAACUGCAUUUUGUCUAAAUGUUGUGGUAGAUGUUGAGAAAUUUACUUCAUACAUCAUGAUGCGCACAAAUGCCAUCUUAAGCGAUUCGGGGGGGGGGGGAUUGCACAAAACAGUAAGCGUAUAUGUGACAUUUCUGUCGACCUCAAUUAAUUGGAAAUCAGGGGAAGACAGAUAUGUUGUAUGAACCCUUCACAGGCAGCGUCCAGUGCGUGCUCAGCACGGUAAGUUGUUAGUUAUUGAAAUAGUGACGAUAAGUACUUUCAAGCGUACCGACGGUAAUGGAACGCAUGUUCAGGGCCGCGCCGACGCGGUCACAUGUAACACACGUAAGCAUAAUCUCUCAUAAUUCUACCUUCUACCCUCAUCAAAAAACUAUACUUCACGUGACUCACGUUCAGGAGUUAGCAAUCACCAGCGAAUAAAUUUUGAAUGCGGCGAAUUAUUUUACAAUGCAACCACCUUGCUAAAAACAAGGUAUGAACCUCACUGUAGAUCACAUUAACACUAAUCUCUACCACAAUCACUGGAUGCAGUCCUAGUCAAGUAGACCCAAUCCUCGGUCCGCUUCCAAUGCCCUUUAGGGUGCAUCACCGGUUACAUUAUCAUCGAAACUCGAAACAGUAGUUUCAGAUGCAAGUGAGUCCUCGACAAUCUGAUCUGAGGAUUCAAAUGCGAAUUGCGGCUCUGGGCUGUUUGUGCUUUCAUUGAAGAGAACUGCACCAUCAUCAGCAGAGCCCCGAGCAUCAGAACCAGAGUCAUCGGUGCCAAAAUCAGGCUCCUGAGUGUCAAAGCCAGUACCCUGAGUGUUGCUGAGAUCAGCAAACUCUAGGGGAGAAGGGUCCUUCUGAGCAUCGUACACAUAGGAAUUAUCUUCCUUAACGCUGGAGAAAGACGCAAACUCAGAUCCCGAGUUCUCCUCUAGGGGAACUGCCUGAUCAUCACUCGGUCCCUGCUGAUUCAAUGUUCCGAAAUCUGCCAGGCUAUCGGCGUCGGGAAGAUCACUGAGCACAGUCUGGUCUUCGGAGAUGCCAUUGUCCGAAGUCUGUACUCUCGUAUAAUCAUAGUUUACAGGCUCCUCGACAGGAACCACUUCCUCAGCUUUAGCCUCAAAGUUGUAGAUGGGAUCCUGGAGGAGGAGGCGGGCACUAUCGACAUGAAUUACCUGCACACAGAACAAUGUCACACAGAGGGUCGCGAUAACUAAGGGAAGACGAGCCAUUUCUCGACACUCUAGAACUAAGUGCUCAACCUUACGCUCCGACUACACCAAGACAAUUUGCUUACAUCAAUGAUUAUCGCCGCUUGAGGAUAGCAAGACCGAGGAAAAGAUCCCUAUAUGUAAGUCAAUUGCAAGCGAGUACAACACCGUUGAGGUUGCACGGUAAGGGUACUGACUUGCCUUCCUACGCACCGCUCCCUCUCAAUGAAGGAAUCUCGUUUCGCGCCAUUGAGCCGAUCCUCGAUUCGCGACGAGAUUAGACACCCUUGAAUCGUGCCAGACAUUGAGCAGUGAUUUCUACCGCUCCAUCUACCCUGAGUCAAACCCUGAUUUCAUCGAGAUUUCAUCUGAGUUGCAACGGUCAAAAUCACAGCAACCCCAGUGAAUCUUCAUACGGAAAACUUUAAAAAGAGUAGUGCGGCACAUUUAAUCAACAGCACUCAGAAUUUUCUGCGAAAAAUCCCUUCAACGCUUGGCACAAAUCGACUGUUUAGGAAAAGCAGAAUAUAUCGUUUAAUUCUUUUGAGAUGUGCACAAUAAUUCUGAAACUUCCGAUUGUUGAUUAGAAUUAAAUAAAACUUGCUGGCUUUUCUCAUGUUUCCAACACAAAUAAAU